rnacentral:rRNA from 1 species
GAUGAACGCUGGCGGCGUGCCUAAUACAUGCAAGUCGAGCGGUAAGGCCCCUUCGGGGGUACACGAGCGGCGGACGGCUGAGUAACACGUAGGAACGUACCCCAAACUGAGGGAUAAGCACCAGAAAUGGUGUCUAAUACCGCAUGUGCUCUUCGGAGUAAAGCUACGGCGGUUUGGGAACGGCCUGCGCAUGAUUAGCUUGUUGGUGAGGUAAUAGCUCACCAAGGCGACGAUCAUUAGCUGGUCUGAGAGGAUGACCAGCCAGACUGG